ACCCCUAAUCGGUGGCCCCACCCAAUCCCCCCUCAUUCCUAUGUUUGGUUCAUGGUAUUGCUAAUACCAUUGUAAUCGGUUACUGAUUUAAUCGGUGGAUUUCACCGAUUUGUAAUCCUUCCAUUUUGCCCAGAUUAGGCGCCGCAUAGGUUUACCAUCCCUGUUAUACCCUCCCAUCUGCUUCCCCUUUGUUUCUCUUCUGUUCCUUCUAGCCUCUGCCGAUUUCCUUGUUGGUAAGUUAAUCCCCUCCAG
rnacentral:lncRNA from 1 species